rnacentral:rRNA from 1 species
CUCACUCCACUUCGUGAUUUGAUGUCAGAACCUGAAGAACAUUUUUCAUGGUAAUUCGCUGACAAACUCCCGGCUGGAACACCUCCUUAAGCCGAAUUCCAGCACACUGGCGGCCGUUACUAGUGGAUCCGAGCUCGGUACCAAGCUUGGCGUAAUCAUGGUCAUAGCUGUUUCCUGUGUGAAAUUGUUAUCCGCUA